rnacentral:rRNA from 1 species
GAAUCUGCCCUUUGGUUGGGGACAACAGCUGGAAACGGCUGCUAAUACCCAAUGUGCCGAGAGGUGAAAGCUUUAGUGCCAAAGGAUGAGCUCGCGUCGGAUUAGCUAGUUGGGGGGGUAAGAGCCCACCAAGGCGACGAUCCGUAGCUGGUCUGAGAGGAUGAUCAGCCACACUGGGACUGAGACACGGCCCAGACUCCUACGGGAGGCAGCAGUGGGGAAUUUUCCGCAAUGGGGGCAACCCUGACGGAGCAAGACCGCGUGGGGGAAGAAGGUUUGUGGAUUGUAAACCCCUUUUGAUUGGGAAGAAGACAAUGACGGUACCAAUCGAAUCAGCAUCGGCUAACUCCGUGCCAGCAGCCGCGGUAAUACGGAGGAUGCAAGCGUUAUCCGGAAUUAUUGGGCGUAAAGCGUCCGUAGGUGGUGGUGCAAGUCAGCUGUUAAAGCGUGGAGCUUAACUCCAUAAGGGCAGUUGAAACUGCAUUGCUAGAGUGCGAUAGGGGCAAGGGGAAUUCCCAGUGUAGCGGUGAAAUGCGUAGAUAUUGGGAAGAACACCGGUGGCGAAAGCGCCUUGCUGGGUCUGCACUGACACUGAGGGACGAAAGCUAGGGGAGCG